rnacentral:tRNA from 1 species
GGCGCUAUAGCUCAGUUGGUUAGAGCGGUAGAUUCAUAUCCUACAGGUCGGUGGUUCAAAUCCACCUAGCACCACCA